AGGAGAGUUUGAUCCUGGCUCAGGACGAACGCUGGCGGCGUGCUUAACACAUGCAAGUCGAACGAGGUUAUAGGAGAGCUUGCUCGAAUAUAACCGAGUGGCGGACGGGUGAGUAACGCGUGAACAAUCUGUCUCAUACAGGGGAAUAACGCAUCGAAAGAUGUGCUAAUACCGCAUAGGACCACGGUAUCGCAUGGUACUGAGGUGAAAGGAGCAAUCCGGUAUGAGGUGAGUUCGCGUCUGAUUAGAUAGUUGGUGAGGUAACGGCCCACCAAGUCAACGAUCAGUAGCCGACCUGAGAGGGUGAUCGGCCACAUUGGGACUGAGACACGGCCCAGACUCCUACGGGAGGCAGCAGUGGGGAAUAUUGGGCAAUGGGCGAAAGCCUGACCCAGCAACGCCGCGUGAAGGAAGAAGGUUUUCGGAUCGUAAACUUCUGUCCUUGGUGAAGAGAAGAAGACGGUAGCCAAGGAGGAAGCCCCGGCUAACUACGUGCCAGCAGCCGCGGUAAUACGUAGGGGGCGAGCGUUGUCCGGAAUGAUUGGGCGUAAAGGGCGCGUAGGCGGCUUGUUAAGUCUGGAGUGAAAGUCCUGUUUUCAAGAUGGGAAUUGCUUUGGAUACUGAUGAGCUUGAGUGCAGGAGAGGUUAUCGGAAUUCCCGGUGUAGCGGUGAAAUGCGUAGAGAUCGGGAGGAACACCAGUGGCGAAGGCGGGUAACUGGACUGCAACUGACGCUGAGGCGCGAAAGUGUGGGGAGCAAACAGGAUUAGAUACCCUGGUAGUCCCCU
rnacentral:rRNA from 1 species